rnacentral:rRNA from 1 species
AGAGUUUGAUCAUGGCUCAGAUUGAACGCUGGCGGAAUGCUUUACAUAUGCAAGUCGAACGGCAGCACGGGGGCAACCUGGUGGCGAGUGGCGAACGGGUGAGUAAUAUAUCGGAACGUGCCCAAUCGUGGGGGAUAACGUAGCGAAAGUUACGCUAAUACCGCAUACGAUCUACGGAUGAAAGCGGGGGAUCGCAAGACCUCGCGCGAAUGGAGCGGCCGAUAUCAGAUUAGGUAGUUGGUGGGGUAAAGGCUCACCAAGCCAACGAUCUGUAGCUGGUCUGAGAGGACGACCAGCCACACUGGAACUGAGACACGGUCCAGACUCCUACGGGAGGCAGCAGUGGGGAAUUUUGGACAAUGGGCGCAAGCCUGAUCCAGCCAUUCCGCGUGCAGGAUGAAGGCCUUCGGGUUGUAAACUGCUUUGUACGGAACGAAACGGCGAGCUCUAAUACAGUUUGCUAAUGACGGUACCGUAAGAAUAAGCACCGGCUAACUACGUG